rnacentral:rRNA from 1 species
UACGAGAGGCCCAAACGUUAUUCGGAAUCACUGGGCUUAAAGAGUUCGUAGGCGGCGCGGAAAGUGGGGUGUGAAAGCCCUCGGCUCAACCGAGGAAUUGCGCUCCAUACUCCCGUGCUAGAGGAGGCUAGAGGUAAGCAGAACUGAUGGUGGAGCGGUGAAAUGCGUUGAUAUCAUCAGGAAUACCGGAGGCGAAGGCGGCUUACUGGG